GACAGAGGGGGCAAGCGUUGCUCGGAAUUACUGGGCGUAAAGGGCGCGUAGGCGGGCUGGCAAGUCGGUCGUGAAAUCCCUCGGCUCAACCGAGGAACGUCGAUCGAUACUGCUGUUCUUGAGGAUUGCAGAGGAGACUGGAAUUCCCGGUGUAGCGGUGAAAUGUGUAGAGAUCGGGAGGAACACCGGUGGCGAAGGCGGGUCUCUGGGCAAUUCCUGACGCUGAGGCGCGAAAGCGUGGGGAGCAAACGAG
rnacentral:rRNA from 1 species